CGAGCCCGACGAGCUGGACGAGUUCGGCCACCAUGAUUCCCCACAGAACAAGGUCGACCCUCUCGCUCUGUUUUUCUUUUCUUUCCAAGUGGUUGCUCUCAAAUUUUCUUGGACUGAACCUGAUGCAGAAAACGUGGCCACUUCCUUUCCUCAUACUCGCAUGUUACAGCCAACGACAGAGUAGCACAGGGCUAAUGUUGUUGUCCGGAAGCAACUCCAGGAACCAGCUUCAAAUAGCUCUUGUAUUCAUCUGGAAUUUGAUAUUUCAGGCACAGGUCUUGUUGCAGGUUCCAAGAAAUCAGAGGCUCCUUUUUCAAAUCGGAUACACAGAGAAAUACAUGGAGAAAUCAGGGGCUCCUUUUUCGGAUCGGUUCCAAGAAAAUGCAGAGUUAUGUAGUAAUUUUUGUUUAGAGGCUCCUUUUUCAGAUUUGUUCCAAGAAAAUGCAAAGUGAUGUAGUAAUAAUGUUUGUAAAUACUUGAUGAGCUAUCUAUGUAAAUAUGUAUUUUGGUAUCUGAACAUUGCCAUGAUUGUAAUAAGUUUGGGCUGUUAUGUGAAAAUUAAAUUUUAUUUA